UACGUAGGGUACAAGCAUUAAUCGGAAUUAUUGGGCGUAAAGGGCGCGUAGGCGGGGAUGUAAGUCAGGUGUGAAAUACCAAAGCUCAACUUUGGUGCUGCAUUUGAAACUGCAUUUCUUGAGGACUGACGGAGAAAGCGGAAUUCCAUGAGUAGCGGUGAAAUGCGUAGAUACAUGGAGGAACACCGGUGGCGAAAGCGGCUUUCUAGUUUUUACCUGACGCUGAGGCGCGAGGGCAAGGGGAGCAAACAGG
rnacentral:rRNA from 1 species